rnacentral:rRNA from 1 species
CCCUACGGGGGGCAGCAGUGGGGAAUAUUGCACAAUGGGGGAAACCCUGAUGCAGCGACGCCGCGUGAGUGAAGAAGUAUCUCGGUAUGUAAAGCUCUAUCAGCAGGAAAGAUAAUGACGGUACCUGACUAAGAAGCCCCGGCUAACUACGUGCCAGCAGCCGCGGUAAUACGUAGGGGGCAAGCGUUAUCCGGAUUUACUGGGUGUAAAGGGAGCGUAGACGGCAGCGCAAGUCUGGAGUGAAAUGCCGGGGCCCAACCCCGGAACUGCUUUGGAAACUGGCGGGCCAGAGAGCAGGAGAGGGG